rnacentral:lncRNA from 1 species
GUGACCUCAAAUAUAAAAGAUAGUUAAAGACUUUGUAUAAUCAUGUGAUAUUUGUUGAAGAUAAAAAAUUCGUCAUCAUCAAUCUUACUGUGUCGUAAUACGUGAAGUCUUGUUUGAGAAUGCUUCGGGCACCUAAUUGUGGAAGGUAGAAUGGAAAUUGCAACAAUAAAAUCCUAAUUCUAAUAAAAUACUAAUUAAACUCUAAUUAGACUAUAAUAAUGCUAAAUAAGCUUUAAUCAAAUUUAAAGAAACCUCAAAGAAAUUUCAAAGAAAUAAUAAAAAAUAUUAAAAAAAUAUUAGAUUGAUCACAAAUAUAUCUCAAAUACAACUCAAUUCAAUCUUAAUUUAAUCCUACUUAAAAUCCUAUUGGACUUCAUUCAAACUUUAAGCCAAAACUAAUUAAAUCUUAAAUCAAAUCCUAAAUCCUAAAUCAAAUCCUAAAGCUUAAAUCAAAUCCUAACUAAACCUUAAAUCCUAAACCAAAUCCUAAAUCCUAAACCAAACCCUAAAUCCUAAACCAAAUCCUAACCAAAUCCUAAAUCAAACCCUAACCAAACCCUAAAUAAAAUCCAAACCAAAUUCUAAAUCUUAAACUAAAUCCUAAACUCUAAAUCAAAUCUUGACCAAAUCCUAAAUCAAAUCCUAAUCAAAUCCUAACCCUAAAUCAAAUCCUAACCAAACUCUAAAGCUUAAAUCAAACCCUAGAUCCUAAAUCAAAUCCUAAUCAUGUCCUAAAUCAAACCCUAAUCAAAUCUUAAAUCAAAUUUUAAAUCCUAAAUUAAAUCCUAAUCAAACUCUAAAUCCUAAAUCAAAUUCUAAUCAAAUCCUAAAUCAAAUCCUAAACCCUAAAUCAAAUCCUUAUCAAAUCCUAACUCUAAAUCAAAUCCUAACUAAACUCUAAAU